AAGGUACUUCCUCCGUUCGGAAUUACUUGUCUCGAAAAUGGAUGUAUCUAGAACUAAAAUACGUCUAGAUACAUCCAUUUCUGCGACAAGUAAUUCCGAACGGAGGGAGUAUGUG
rnacentral:pre_miRNA from 1 species